CAGGCCCUCACCUGUAGGGAGGUGGAUCUGAGACCUGUUCUUCCGGCUCCUCUCCUGGCUGCCUUGUGAAUAACUCUCUCUGCUGCAUCCUCAGCCUGCUGCUCAUCGGGCAAAAGGAACCUGACUCAGUAAAAGGAGCAUGUACGCGGGCUUUUCACUGCUGCGGCCUCUCCCGUCGCGGAGCACAGGCUCUGGAUGCGCAGCCCCAGCCGCUCCACGGCAUGUGGGAUCCUCCCGGACCGGGGCACAAACCCGUGUCUCCUGCAUCGGCAGGCGGACUCUCAACCACUGCGCCACCAGGGAAGCCCCCCUCUUUUGUUCUUAUUUAGCACAUGUGACUCAGAUGGAGCUGACCCACCUCUCUAGUCCAUAGGAGGGCAUGUGACCCAAGUCUGGCCAAUCACCAUCUUCCAGCCUCUUGGCCCCAGUGAUUCACUCCUCAGGCUCCAUUUCCACCUGCUCUGGCUCAAAUAAUCAUAUACUUGCCUUCUCUAGAAAUACUGCUUCACGCUGCCUCACAAAUAAACAACUCACCGCGAAGAGCUGAGAAGACACGUAGGUGCCGAGAAAACAGAAUGCAAGAGUGAACAAAGAAGUUGGUUUAGGCAGAAGCUUUUUCUACUGAGACUGAAGAAUGAAUCCUUCUUCUUAGAUUCUUUCAUUAAAUCACUAUUGCGUAAUUAUAGGGAUCUCUGGAAAGCCAAGGAAACUGAGUUUGAAUUCCCUUCUAGAACUUUUCUUCAGCCUCUCUGAGGAACGUAAGAAGGGGAAUUGGAAGACAGGCAAUCUUCUGAUGCUGCAGCCCAGAGGUAGCAACUAUUGAUUUUGCAUGGCAAUGCCCGAGGAUUCCUCUUACUGCUUUUAACCUUCCCCUGCUGGAGAGUCCUACAAAAAAAGUAUCAUAGUUUUUGCCAAAUAUAUUUUAACUUGAGCCUACUAUUAAGAAAAGAAUAAUAGAAUAUUAGCUACUGAGCGUGUUUAAGAAAUGACUACUGCAUUAAAGCUAAAAUUCUUUCUUUUAUUAUCAAUUUUAGUGACUCUGGGUCUAAAUCACCUCUUCCAUUAAUCCCUCAGAAGGUCAUUUUUAGAACAUGAGUGUGAAUAUAUAAAAACACAGGGAGAGACAUCUCAAGGGACAGUUUUAGUUUCGGUGGUCAAGAUGCUGAACUGGAUUGAUUUAGAAGUCCUAUCACAGCAAAGUAAUUGACCCUUCCUCGGCUGGUACCCCCCUAAGCAAACUUUGAAACACACCAGCUCAGCACUUAAUUCAUCUUUCCUUUGACUUUUAAAGUGGCCUGGGUCAAGAGUAGCCUCUUCUUCCGAUGAAUGACAUAGUGUUGGAUUCUUUCUCUAUAAAAUCAUGCAAUCCCAGGUUUGACAGUGCCUCACCCCCUGACCUUGGGCCAGGCGCUUAACCUCUACGUCCAGGUGGCUGCACUUCAAACAGAAGAUGUUAACAUUGACCAGAAGAUUCAGGGAUGAAUAACUUAUUAAUGAUUUGAGAGCACUUAGGACCUAUAAAGCACUAUAAAAAUCCUUCCUGCAAUAAUAUACGGAUAGCAUAAGUAUAGCAUGAUAGCCAGUUCCAGAGCGGAAAUGAACCCCUUAGGUGCCAUUUUGGUGUUCUGUGAAAUUUAAGCAAAGGAGGAUAGCCCUCUUCCACCACAGAGGUUUUGCCAAAGGGCAAAUGCAUCAAAGUAAGGGGACGCUUGUAAACUUGACUUCUACUUAUGUCCCUGUGGCUGUUCUGUAACGAUUUGAUGUGACCCAAAGUUGUCUUUAUGUGUCAAACAGUCUGGGGUCUCCUCAUUGCCUUUGGUUUUUUUGGACCAAGAAUGUAGAAUACAAAGCUUGUGUUAUUAAACAUGUUGGAGCAGAAAAUGCUAAGAGGUUUGGAGCGUGUAAGGGUCUGUCUAGAAACUGCGGUGGAGCAUGUGGAAGGAGAGAUGGACAGACAAGUGGAUACUUUGUCAACCGUCUUAGUGUUUCGGAAAACGUGUAGUAAACGUUUGUGCAGUAAAUUUGGAGAAUUUACUGUACUGGAAUAUGAAGCAUUUCUAGACCAAAAGAGGCCAAUUUAAGUCAAGACUUCAAAGAGAUGGUGCUGACUGUCACAGUGGGCGUGUCCUUCUUUUUGCAAGCUCAGCAUCUGUAACCCAUUCCCAUGGUUGGGGAAUCCUCCCACCUUAGGAGUUUUGGUGAGAGGCAGAGUCUGCCUUUCACUCUAGCAGGUGGAAAUGCAAGAUACUCACUUUCCCAAGGCACAGCCAGAGGACGGAGGCCUGGCAGGCAGAGGUACCUACUCCGGACUCUGAAAACAGAACUAGUGACACAAAGAAAGAAUCAGACGUAACUCUGUCUGACAUUGGCAAAGGAUGCAGAAGCCCAUGUUCUUGGGCAGCAGAGAGAGUGGUGCUGUGGCCGCACCCAUAUCCACGAUGACCAGAGUCCAUGGUCCAAGUUCAGAUGUGGUUCUCGAUGGUGGCGGCUGUAGACGUUCUUUCUACAGCAGACCUGCAGUGGGAUUUUGAGUUUUGCUCCUGCCUGGAGGUCCCUGUCCCAGUGAUACUCUGAGAUACCCAGUGCCCCUUUGUUGUUAUUACCUUUUUAAUAUGAAUAUUUCCAAACGUAUACAAAUCCUCCAUCUGCCCACCGUCUACUCCGCCUGGUAUAAUUUACUUACUAGAGUAUUCGAACAUCGUAGUUGAAUAACUCAAUGUGUGUUAGUAAAUGUAUAGAGCUAUAUAACCAUCCCCCCCAUCUCAUGACAUUUUCGUUUUGUUUUAGUAUACAGUUCUAGGAAUUCUGACCCAUAUAGAUUUGUUCAGCCACAGCCACACUCAGGAUACAGAAUAGUUUUCAUCACCCCAAAGUACUCCCCUCUGCUAUCUAUGGUCAUACCCUCCCUGCUUCCGACCCUGAGACCACUGCUCUGUUCCCCAUCUCUACAGUUUUGUCUUUUCUAGAAUGUCAUAUAAAUGGAAUCAUACGAUAGAUAGUCUUUUAUGUCUUUGCACAACGCCUCUGAGAGUCAUCCAAGCUGCUGCAUGUGUUAAUAGUCUACUCCUUUCUAUUAAGUAUUUUGUUGUAUGGAUAUAGCACA